GUUAAGACGUUUGACAUGAAAUCAUGUAUCCAUCUGCAUCAAAAUUUAUUAUUUAUUUAUUACAAAGAGUGGUUAUUAUUUGUUGUUUAUGCAAUGUAAAAAAAUCUGGGUAAUUAACCAAAACCGACGGAAAUACAUCAGCUAUCAGAGGAAAAUAGUUAUCAAAGGUACCAGGAUUAUAAUUCAGUACACCAGACGCGCGUUUCGUCUACAUAAGACUCAUCAGUGACGCUCGUAUCAAAAUAUUUAUAAAGCCAAACAAGUACAAAGUGUAAGAGCAAUGAGGAUCAAAAUUCCAAAAAGUUAUGCCAAAUACGGCUAAGGUAUUCUAUGUCUGGGAUAAGAAAUUCCUAAGUGUUUUGAAAAUUUCAAAAUUUUGUAAACAGGAAAUGUAUAAAAAUGACCACAUUGUUGAUAUUCAUGUUAAACACCGAAAUGUUGACUACUGGGCUGUGAUGAUACCCUCGGGGACGAAACGUCCACCAGCAGUGGCAUCGACCCAGUGGUGUAAAUAGUUGUCAAAGGUACCAGGCUUAUAAUUUAGUACGCCAGACGUCUACAUAAGACUCAUCAGUGACGCUCAUAUCAAAAUAUUUAUAAAGCCAAACAAGUACAAAGUUGAAGAGCAUUGAGUAUCCAAAAAUUCCAAAACGUUAUGCCAAAUACGGCUAAGGUAGUCUAUGCCUGGGAUCAUAAAUCGAGAACAAUACACACCAUCGGUAAAUUAACAUUUUAGUAAUUUUUAUUCCAAAUUACGUUGGACAAAUUUUAAUGUUAAUUUUAAAGUUUUUUGAAAAUUUCAAAAUUUUGUAAACAGGAAAUUUAUAAAAAAUGACCACAUUAUUGAUAUUCAUGUCAACACCGAAGUGUACCAAAAGAAUCACAGAAUUGCUACCAAAAAUAAACACCAAUAUACAUAGAAACGGACUGUUUGGUAAUAACUGCACUAUUGAGUUGAGGACAUGUUAAAAAUGGUGGGUUGAACCUAUUUUUAUUGCUUGGCAAACCUCCCGCUUAUAUGACAAUGUUAAAACACAGCUUAAAUGACAACAGUACAUGACAAGCGCUUUACAGGAUUAAUCCUCACCAGGAACGCUAAAAUGCAAUGAUGUAUAAGAACCAAAACAGCUGAAAAGCUUAAUUCUAAAAUUGACCUACAAAAAGUAGCCAAAUUCAUUUAAGGACAACUUUGCCUGAGGGAGUUGAAACCUAUAUCAUCAAUUAGUCAGUAACUUUAUUGAGUUUGUUUUGUAAUUUAACAUUCGAGUCAUCACUAUUUGACUGUGAAGCAAAAACAUAUAAAAAAUAGUUUGUCUUUUCAGUUUCAUCACAUAUCAAAUUAUCAUUCACGAUUACAAUGGGUAUUCUAGAGUCAUUUGUUUUUGUUUUUUUUUUUUUUUAUCUUAGACUUAUCUGUUUAUUGUUUCGUUUCCAUUGCACUAUAAAUUGAUGAUUCCGUUCGGAUACAACUGAAAAUCGAUUAAUAUUUUGUAUGAAUGAGGCAUAGGUCAAAAGGAGAGUAAUCGCACAACACAGAAUACAAAGAUAUAGAAAUGCAAGUAUUGUUGUUUUGCUAAAAGUUUUGAGUAUAUCCAUAACUUUAAAUAAACUCAUCAAAGAUGCCAGGAUUAAAAUUUUAUAUUUACGCCAGACGCGCGUUUCGUCUUACAAAAAACUCAUCAGUGACGCUCGAAUCAAAAAAUGUUAAAAAGGCCAAAUAAAGUUAAAAGUAGUUGAAGAGCAUUGAGGACCAAAAAUCUCUAAAAGAAGUGCCAAAUACAGUUAAGGUGAUAUUUUCCUGAAGUAGAAAAGCCUU
rnacentral:lncRNA from 1 species